UUGAGACCUUGACGGUUUUCGACGGUCUUUGGAGACCGGGACCGUCGAAGACCGGAGACCGGAGACCGUCGAUUAGUAUCCCCCAAUAGCCGAGGCAGUUCCGAAUGAUAUGUCAACAAACAACCUGGCGCGAAAAAAAACUCAAAUACCCGAUACAGUUAAAGUCAGACAGCAAGAUUGAGCUUCUCCUGUACAGAACUUUAGCUGCAUGUGCUCAGCGUAAAACUGUUGUGAAAGGUUUGUGCUUUUUGUUUCUUACUGAAACUUUUUUAUAAGGAUUAUUGCAAGGAAGUUAGUUAUUAUAAUAUUAAUAUUUAUUAUAAGUUUAUUUUUUCUUGUAGUUUUACAUUAAGUCUGGUUCAAAGUGAUCUAAAAUUUUGCCCAUUAUUUUGUAAAUAGUAGAGUCUUUUAAAGAACUGUUGUCAUAUUUUUUGUUUAUAUUUUUUCAAAGUAAUACAUAUAAAUCUAUACAUCAUUUAUAAAGUUUCUAAAAAAUUGUUAUUAACUUUUAACUUCUUUAUAAUUCUAUUUGAAGGUCUAUGAAAUAUUCAUCUUAAUAAAAUUUCAAAAAGCUAACAGUAUAUUGCUAUAGUGAACUGGCAGCAUUAUAAGACAAGUCUCUCUUGACAUUCCACUCCAAAAGUCCAAAAGACUGUAAUAUAUUUUUUUCCAUUUAAGCUGUAAUGACUGAUAAUUAGAGACCAAACUAAAAUGAGUUUUUCACACAAAUUUUAUUUGCUUAUUUGCUCAAAAAAUUUUAAGAAAUUUUUUGAGCUUUUGCUACAGUCAGGCUGUCAUUGUUGGACCCAUUUUAUGCCCAUUACUGUCAAGUUCAAAGUUUUCAAAUUUGCUAAAUUGAAUUUAUUAUUACUUUGUUAUUAUACUCCUGCACAACAAAGUUGUAAGGGGGGUAUACUGGAAUGAGCUUGUCCGUCCGGCCAUCCUGGUGACGAUCUCUCCGGCCGUCCGUAGGUUUUCCCUUGUCCGCCCAAUAACUUGAGAUUCCUAUGACCCACAGGUUUGUCAUGAUGAGUAGAUAACCCCUAUUGAUUUUGAAGUGUCACUGGGUCAAAGGUCCAGGUCACAGGGGCUUUGACUGAAAAAAGCUUGUCCCCCCCAAUAUCUUAAGAUUCCUUUGACCCACAGUCUUCAUAUUUGGCAUGGAGGUUAGUCAUGAUGAGUAGAUGACCCCUAUUGAUUUUGAGGUCACUGGGUCAAAGGUCCAGGUCACAGGGGCCAUGACUUAAAAAAAAAAUCUUGUCCAUCCAGUAUCUUAAGAUUCCUUUGACCCACAGUCUUCAUAUUUGGCAUGGAGGUUAGUCAUGAUGGGAAGAUGAACCCUAUUGAUUUUGAGGUCACUGGUCAAAGGUCAAGGUCACAAGGGCUUUGACUUCAAAAAGCUUGUCCGCCCAAUAUCUUAAGAUUCCUUUGACCUUUAGUCUUCAUAUUUGGCAUGGAGAGUAGUCAUCAUUAUUAAAUGACCCCUAUUGAUUUUGAGGUCACUAGGUCAAGGUCACAGGGGCCUUGAUUGAAAAAGAGCUUGUCCGCCCAAUAUCUUAAGAUUCCUUUGACCCACAGUCUUCAUAUUUGGCAUGGAGGUUAGUCAUGAUGAGUAGAUGAACCCUACUAAUUUUGAGGUCACUGGAUCAAAGGUUAAGGUCACAGGGGCCUUGUGGCUGAAAAAGCUUGUCUGCCCAAUAUCUUAAGAUUUCUUUUACCCACAGUCUUCAUAUUUGGCAUGGAGGUUUGAGUCAUGAUGAGUAGAAGACCACUACUGAUUUUGAGGUCACUGGGUCAAAGGUCAAGGUCACAGGGGCCUUAUGACUGAAAAAAGCUUGUUCACCCAAUAUCUUAAGAUUUCUUUGACCCACAGUCUUCUUAUUACAUUAUUAUGCAAUACACUGGGUUACUUCCCUCAGAUUUGGCAGGGAGGUUGUCCUUGAGCUUAAAUUGACCACUGUUGAUUCUGACAAAGUGGUAUGCUGGGGUAUUCAGGCCAUGGCAGUGGCAGUUCUAGUUUAGUUACAGAUUUUUUUUAUACGUGAACAAAUUAAAAAAUUACCAUGAUGACCUUGUCGUUGACUGUCAAAGUCAAAGAUGUAAAUUUAGAAUUAAGAAAAAGUCGAGUGUGGCCGCUGCAUGUUGUUGGCUACAGGCCUCGAUGAAUUUUUCUAGGGUCACUGUCCCUACUGGGCAAGGUGACCCUUCAAAUUUACUUGCCCUGCAUUUUGAUGGACAAAAUUUGUAAAAAUCAAACAGACUCAAAUUUACUAUCUAUCGGUCUAUAUCGGUAUAAUCACCUUUAUCCAUGUACGUAUUAAUUCUUUUGAUAGAUCUAUAAUUUUAAUUUUCAACAUAACUAGGGCCGUGUAUUGUCAGAGUAGAGGCGAUAUGAUGUGAUUCACGAUACAAAGGAGCAAUACACAAAUCGGUUUGCGAUACAUCACUGAAUGAUGAAAUAGUUUCAAUGUUUUAUGUCAAACUAUAAUCUUACUAAGACUUUAUAAUCCAGCCGUUCAAAUAGAAAGCAGAACAUAUUUACAAGGGAUACUUUGAUAUUUAACUUGUUUACAAGUGAAUAUUUAAGUAGUACUCUUUUAAAUAUUUGUACAAAUUGAAUAUAAGCAUUUAGAUUGAUUUUUUUCCAUCUUUACUUUUACUGGGCCAUGUAAGGCAAGCUUGUCCGAAAGCCUUCACCAAGUUGCUUCAGAUGUGACAUAUUUUAAUCUUGCGUCAAAUGAAGUUGACUCCUCAAGGAAGUAGAGUCAUCUCAUCUUUAUAACAAGUCUCCAAAUUGUCAGAAACUGUUUUGCCUAUUUUUUGAAAAGCUGCGUCAUCUUCUUUCUGAUAAUAGAACAAUUUAAGUUUGUUUAAGAAAGGAAUGAUGAUACCAACUGUUGGUUUCUGAUCAGCAGUCAUAGCUAAGCAUGAUAAAGAGACUGCAUUAGUGCACAUAGUUUAAUUUCUCCAUGGUCAUUAAGCGUAACAGCUGUAACUGACUUAAUUACAUGCUGUUUUUUGAUAGUUUCAUCUGUAAAGGUAGCCAGUAUUGCCACUUGUUGCUCAAGAAAUCUAUCUACCAUCAAGAAGAUACUAUUUUAAAGGGACUGCACUGAGGUUUUUUGAAAUGACGGGACUGGAAAUAAUUUUUUUAAGAUGAUUACUCCAUUUGAUGUACAUCUAUACAUAUAACUUAAGUGCAAAAUUUCAGAUCAUAAAUUUACUCUGUUUAUCCAGAAUAAUUAUUAUAAUAGUGAAAAAUGACCCAAAUUUGAAAAGCAUUUAAAUGCUUUUCAAUCAAAUUGGACUGAGAAUAGCAUAGUUACGGUUUUCAAUGUAUUUCAUGUAUAUUUCUUAGUUGUAUUUAAUUUGUAUUUCUGUUAAAGUGCUCAUGUUCAUUUAUGUGGAAAAUUAAAAUGAUAUGUUUUUAGGCUUAUAAACCUCAGUGGAGUUCCUUUAACGGGUGCGAACAUCUAUCAAUUAUUUGCGAUCAGACAACUAGAGCAUGGUUUGCUUUUUCUUGAAUAAAGCAGCAGCGGUUGUUCUACGGUGAAGAAAACAAACUAUGCUUCUUAUCUUAGCUAAUGCUUGGUGUACUUCUAUAAUGUCCAAAGCCUUGCAGUUGCAGGAGGCCAGGUUUAAUGUGUGGGCAAAGCAUCUUAAAUGGACUGAAAUAUUUGCAACCUUUGCUGCAACUUUCAUAUUAGAAGCAUUAUCAGUAGAAAGGGAUGAAAUUCCACAGCCCCAUUCUAGUGAAACCUUCUGUAUUACAUGCGCAACAUGUUCACCUGUGUGAGACUCUGGUAAAUCUCUGGUCUGCAGAACUCUUGAACAAGUUCAAGGUCACAUUUAGAGGUCAAAAGUUAACAUAGUCUGUUUAAGGGUAUAUUUUGUGUCUGAUCUAGAACUUCUUCAGGAUUUUGAAAUAACUACGCACAAAUAUUCACAAUGAUAAGAUGAUGUGUCAUGCAUAACACAUGUGUCCCUACCUCCAAGGUCAAGGUCACACAUAGAGGUCAAAGAUUUUUAUAGUCUGUUAUAGGGUAUAUUUUGUGUCAAGUCCAUAAUCUGGGAUUUUAAUAAUACUUUGCACAAAUAAUCACAAUGAUAAGAUGAUAUGUCAGGUGUAAAACAUGGGUCCCUACUUCCAAGGUCACACUUAAAGGUCAAAGAUUGACAUAGUUUGUUAUAAGGGUAUAUUUUGUGUCUGAUCUAUAACUUCUACAUAGUGAAAGGGAUUUUGAAAAUACUUGGCACAAAUAGUAAUGUUAAUAAGAUGAUAUGUCAUGCACAACACCUGCACCACUACCUCCAAGGUCAAGGUCACACUUAGAGGUCAAAGGUUAACAUGAUAGAAUUCUAUAUUCCAUAUUUCAUUUUACUAGUAUUUCUUUAAUAAAUUUAUUGUUGCAUUUGCAGAUCAAGCAUUGAUCAGAAUUUUGGACUGAAAGUCCUGAAAUCCAUACCUCAUGCUUCAUAUAAAACUUCCCCUAGACGGGGGAAGUUGGUAACUAUGUUACAAAUUUUGUUUGAUUUACUUUAGCCUGACAAAGUCUCUUUCUACCAGCACAGAUUCAUGGCAGGAAUUGGCAGUGGUUGGACUGAAGUACUUGUCAAUCAACUUCUUUCGAUAGUUUGCUUUAAUUUCUAAUUUUAAAUGGGAACUUUAAAUGUUUUUAUCGGCAGAAAGUCAUAUCAAAUGUAUAAUCUGUUGCAUUUUGACAUCUUGUUAAACAGAUUCAUUUGCUACAAGUGUUAUCUAAAAUUCUAAUUCCUGUACCUGUACUUGAAACAUCAACUCCAUGAUGCCUUUUCAUAUGAAACAUCAUGUUUGUAUUACCACCACUGUACUUAACUUCAGAAAGGCAUGUUUUACAGAUAACUUUAGUCUCAUCAUUUUUAGAAAAGCUAAAGUUUUUCCAAAAUUUUGACGAAUAUUUAGCCAGGGCAUUUUUGUAAGGUAAACUAUUUCAGUCCAUUUUGCAGACGAAAAUGACACUUUGCCAUACCGUAUUUAGCAUCAUGAUCUUCAUCAUAUAAAUAUUUUUUAAAUUCAAUUCAUAGAAUUAAAUAUUCAUUGCAUUUAUAUUAACUAAUGGUACAAAUAAAAGGUAACCAUUUUUUUCAUAUUCCCAGUAAUUUUCUUUUGUUAUAAGUUAAAUAAAGCGAAACUUCUUGUUGAUAGUUUUACCGUAGAUGUUUGGAUAUAUAACAAGUUUCGGAUACGCUAUGAAAGUAUGCUGAUUAUCAUUGUAUAAAAACUUUUUUAAAAUUCAAUUCAAAGACUUAAAUAUUCAUUGCAUUUAUUAACUAACGGUACAAAAUUUAAUAAACGUUACGAUUAUUUCGCGUAUUUUGGUAAUUUUCUUGUGUUGAAGUUAAAUAUAGCGAAACUUCUCGUUGCUAGCUUUGCGGUAGAUGUUUAUUUUCUGACAUAUAACACACUUUGGAUACACAAUAAAAAUAUGCUGAUUAUUUUAAAAGGUGUGUUUUAUAAGCUUAAAAUAUAGGAUUGAAGGCAAAACCUAUAUCAGAAUUUUCUCUUUAGUUACAAUUACAAAAGAAUGCAAAUCUAGCAAUACAAAGGCACGCGAAUAUUCGUGUCAGAAAUUGAUGACAAAUUCGCUUUGUACCGAGAUUAUGAACGUUCGUUACAGCUCUACUUAUAACCAAAUACUUAUUAAACACAUAUGCACACUUGACUCUUGGCCAAGUAUAAAACAUUGUCGAAUGCUGAUGUUGUUAAUGAAUUGAUUCAUCAUAAACGUUCGGUAAAGUUUUUAUACCUAGUCAUAAGGUCAUUUUCCGGUUCUCAUUUGACAGUAUUACUAUUGACAUGGUGUCUGCAGUUUGAUUUUUUUACCAAAAAUCUUAAUUUACAUAAAAUCUUUUGACUCUAACUUGCACUUUCAAAUGUGAGCAGGCAAGUGGAUUUGUCGAGGCCUGGGCUUUAAUGUUUAUUAAAGGUUAAUGCACCUUUCAUCCUGCAUUAAUAUCUGUAGGAGCAUGAAGAGGCAUUUAAAGCCCAAGCGAUAAGAUUUAAAAUGUCUUAGGGCUUCUGCUUCUGCAAAUGUUAAUGCAUAAGAAAAGUGCAUUGGCUUUAUUCUUGCAUAAAAGAUGACCUUUGAUUGGGCAAUUGUACGUUUUUAUAAAGGCCGAAAAAAUUUCGGGCAUAUGUUAUACCCCCUGGCUUCCGUCUGUCCGUGCAAACAAGAGGACACUUGUUGGGUACCUCGGACAAAAGAGAGGACACUUGUUGGGUAAUUCUAUCAUUAUACCCCCACACAACAAAGUUGUAAGGGGGGUAUACUGGAAUCAGCUUGUCCGUCCGUCCGCACUCACAGGAGAGUAAUUAUGUGGCUAGAGGGACAAUAGGUUCUCUUUGAUGUCAUUCAUUCCGUAAUGCUUUUAUGUGGCUAUUUUCUUUUGCGUGGCUAAAAAGAACAAUAGAGAGAACAAUAGAGUAGCCACAUAAUUACUGUCCUGUGAGAACGUCCGGCUGUCCGUCCGGCCGGCCGUCCGUCCGGCUGUCCGUCGGUUUUUUCUUGUUGGCCCAAUAACUUAAGAUUCAUUUGACCCUUAGUCUUCAUAUUUGGCAUGAAGGUUAGUCAUGAUUAGUAAAUGACCCCUCUAGAUUUUGAGGUCACUAGGUCAAAGGUCAAGGUCACAGGGGCCUUAACUUCAAAAAGCUUGUCCGCCCAAGAACUUAAGAUUCCUUUGACCUACAGUCUUCAUAUUUGGCAUAAAGUUUAGUCAAGAUUAGUAGAUGACCCCUAUUGAUUUUGAGGUCACCAGGUUAAAGGUCAAGGUCACACGGGCCUUGACUUCAAAAAGCUUGUCUGGCCAAUAACUUAAGAUUCCUUUGACCUACAGUCAUCAUUUAUGGCAUGGAGGUUAGUCAGGAUCAGUAGAUAACCCCUACUUACUUUGAGGUCACCAGGUCAAAGGUCAAGGUCACAGGGGCCUUGACUUCAAAAAGCUUGUCCGCCAAGUAACUUAAGAUUCCUUUGACCCACAGUCUUCAUAUUUGGCAUGGAGGUUAGUCAUGAUUAGUAGAUGACCCCUAAUGACUUUGAGGUCACCUGGUCAAAGGUCAAGGUCACAGGGACCUUGACUUUAAAAAGCUUGUCCGCCCUAUAACUUAAGAUUCCUUUGACCCACAGUCUUCAUAUUUGGCAUGGAGGUUAGUCAUGAUUAGUAGAUGACCCCUUUUGAGUUUGAGGUCACUGGAUCAAAGGUCAAGGUCAUAGGGACUUUGACUUUAAAAAGUUUGUCCACCCAUUAACUUAUGAUUCCUUUGACCCAUAGUUUUCAUAUUUGGCAUGGAUGUUGAUCAUGACUAUAGGUGACCCCUAUUGAUUUUAAGGUCACUGGGUCAGAGGUCAAGGUUACAGGGACUUCAAAAAGUUUGUCUGCCCAAUAACUUAAGAUUCCUUUGACCCACAGUCUUCAUAUUUGGCAUGGAGGUUAGUCAUGAUUAGUAGAUGACCCCUAAUGACUUUGAGGUCACCAGGUCAAAGGUCAAGGUCACAGGGACCUUGACUUCAAAAAGCUUGUCCGCCCUAUAACUUAAGAUUCCUUUGACCCACAGUCUUCAUAUUUGGCAUUGAGGUUAGUCAUGAUUAGUAGAUGACCCCUUUUGAGUUUGAGGUCACUGGAUCAAAGGUCAAGGUCACAGGGACUUUGACUUUAAAAAGUUUGUCCACCCAUUAACUUAUGAAUCCUUUGACCCACAGUCUUCAUAUUUGGCAUUGAUGUUGAUCAUGACUAUAGGUGACCCCUAUAGAUUUUGAGGUCACUGGGUCAGAGGUCAAGGUUACAGGGACUUUAAAAAGUUUGUCUGCCCAAUAACUUUAGAUUCCUUUGACCCACAGUCUUCAUAUUUGGCAUGGAUGUUGAUCAUGAUUAGUAGAUGACCCCUUUUGAGUUUGAGGUCACUGGAUCAAAGGUCAAGGUCAUAGGGACUUUGACUUUAAAAAGUUUGUCCACCCAUUAACUUAUGAUUCCUUUGACCCACAGUCUUCAUAUUUGGCAUGGAUGUUGAUCAUGACUAUAAGGUGACCCCUUUUGAUUUUGAGGUCACUGGGUCAAAGGUCAAGGUUAUAGGGAACUUGGCAAAAAAAGCUUUUCUUCUCAAUUGCUUAAGAAUGUCCUGUCCGCAAUGUAUUGAUUUUGACAUUUUUACAUUUGAACGUGUAGAAUACAUAACUUAGCAAUGCACUGGCUUAGUUACCUCAGAUUUGCCAGGGAGGUUUUCCUUGAGCUCUAAAUGGCCACUGUUGAUUCUGACAAAGUGGUAUGCGGGGGUAUUCACGCCAUGAUAGUGGCAGUUCUAGUUCUAUCAGUAUUGUUGGGUACUUUUGUUCUCUUAUUGGCUACUUUUAAACAAAAGAAAUACCCAAUAAAUGACAAUUCGUAGGAAUGACCAUCUGUCUGUUAUCAAUUUGGUUUUCGGAGCAUAACUUAAGUUCCAUUUAGCCCACAGUAUUCAAACUUCAUAGGAUGAUUGCCCAUAUUGGGAAGAAGACCCCUGUUGAUUUUGGGGUCACAAGGUCAAAGGUCAAGGUCACUUUUACCAUAAAACUGAAAAUGGUUUCCGGAGCAUAACUUAAGUUCUAUAUGGCCCAAAGUUUUCAAACUUCAUAGGAUGAUUGUCCAUAUUGGAUAGGAGACCUCUAUUGAUUUUUGGGUCACAUUGUCAAAGGUCAAGGUCACUACUACCCUAAAACUGAAAAUGGUUUCCUGCAGCAUAAAUUAAAGACCAUUUUGCCCACAGUAUUCAAACCUCAUAGGAUGAUAACCCAUAUUGGGUAGAAGACCCCUACUGAUUUUUGGGUCACAAGGUCAAAGGUCAAGGUCACUAUUAGCGUAAUACUGAAAAUGGUUUCCGGAGCAUAACUUAAGUUCCAUUUGGCCCACAGUAUUCAAACUUCAUAGAAUGAUUGUCCAUAUUGGGUAGAAGAAUUCUAUUGAUUUUGAGGUCACAUGGUCAAAGAUCGAUCAAGCUAACUAUUACCUUUAAACUGGAAACAGUUUUCGUUCAAUAACUCAAGCAUUAAUUAAGCUACAGGUGUAAAAUUUUAUAGGACUAAUAGCUUUAUACCCCUGACGUCUUUUUGUCCAUCAGUUGUAGCUUUUUUUACUUACAAGAUAACAACUUGUUGGUGGUGCUUUAAAAACAGCAACUGUAUAUUAUACAUGAAUGUUCUUCAGCUAUGAAGGAGGAUUGCUUUUUGAAGGAGGUAGUACUGUAUUUAACUACCAUGUCUUACAAAUGCUUCAUCCUUACUAAAAGAAAAAGUACUUUCUGGCAUAUAAUGCUCUUGUGUGUCCCCUACUGGUUUAACCGGAGGGGACUUUAGCUCUACCCUCCAUCCAUCUGUCUGUCUAUCUGUCAGUCCGUCCACCAAACUGGAUCCAGCGAUAACGCAAAAAGUACUGAAAAUAUUUUUAUGAAACUUGACAUAUGUAUAAAUGGCAGUAUGAGAUUAUGCAUGUCUUUUUUAUGCCCCCGCCAUGUAAUGGCCGGGGCAUAUAGUGUUACCCUGUUCCGUCCUUCCGUCAUUCCGUCCUUCCGUCAUUCUGUCAUUCCGUCAUCAUCAGUUUCCGUUCAUUAUCUAAGUAACAGUUGUACAUUAUCAACUCAAAUUUGACAUAUGGAUAUGUCAUUAGAAAAUACAGGUCAAGUUCAAAUUUGGUCAUGGUUCGAUGAUUUUUGGCAGAGUUAUGCCCCUUUAACUUUGAAAAUAAUAUGAAAUUUUCAGUUUCUGUUCAUUAUCUCCCCAACGGUACAACACAUUCAACUCAAAUUUGACACAUGGAUAUGUCAUGAGAAAAUACAGGUCAAGUUCGAAUUUGGUCAUGGUUCUACGAUUUUUGGCAGAGUUAUGCCCCUUUUACUUUGAAAAUAAUAUGAAAUUUUCAGUUUCCGUUCAUUAUCUCCCAAAAGGUACAACACAUUCAACUCAAAUUUGACAUAUGGAUAUUUCAUGAGAAAAUACAGGUCAAGUUCGAAUUUGUUCAUGGUUCGACGAUUUUUGGCAGAGUUAUGUCCCUUUUACUUUGAAAAUAAUAUGAAAUUCACAGUUUCUGUUCAUUAUCUACCCAACAGUGUUACAUAUUCAACUCAAAUUUGACAUAUGGAUAUGUCAAAGGAAUGGGCAGGUCAAGUUGGAAUUUGGUCAUGGUUCGAUGAUUUUUUGGCAGAGUUAUGUCCCUUUCACUCUGAAAUAAUAUAGAUACAUCUUAGGAAUAAGCAGUUUAAGUUUGAAUUUGGUCGUGGUUCAAUGAUUUUGGACAAACUUAUCUUUCUUGAAUAUUGGAAAAAUUUUAAACUUUCAGUUUCAGCACUCAUACUUUUGUCGAAAUGUAUGUAGCCAUUAUUUUGGCUACAAAUAUGAAAUAUGCUAUUUUCAAAAUGUUAAGACUGAAUAAUUUCAGUGCCUUGAACAUUUUAUGAAAAUGGUUUGUGUUAACAUUGAAAAGUUUUAAGGGCUUUGAACUUAAAUUGAAAACAAUAAUUUGUGCAAACAAAUUUGGAACUAAAUAUUAUAACAUUUGAAAUUUUGGCUGCAUGCCGGGGCAUCCGUGGCAUGAUGACACAUUUCUAGUCUUUUCUUCCUAUGUUGAAAAAUUUGGUUGCUAUGGCAAUAAAUAGAUAAAUAUGGCAAAUUUAACACAUAUUCUGGAUCCAGUAUAUUUUAAGGUCAAAGGUCAAGGUCACGGUCCUUAACUUUUAUAAGCUUGUCCACCCAAUUACUUGAGAUUCCUUUGACCCACCGUCUUCAUAUUUGGCAUGGAAGUUAGUCAUGAUUAGUAGAUGACUCCUAUUGAUUUUGAGGUCACUGGGUCAAAGGUCAAGGUCACAGGGGCCUUGACUAAAAAGAAAACUUGCCUGCCCAAUAACUUGAGAUUCCUUUGACCCACAGUCUUCAUAUUUUGCAUGAAGGUUAGUCAUGAUUAUUAGAUGACCCCUUUGGAUUUUGAGGUCACUGUUUCAAAGUUCAAGCUCACAGGGGCCUUGACUUAAAAAAAAUCUUGUCUGCCCAUUAACUUGAUAUUCCUUUGACCCAGUCUUCAUGUUUGGCUUUGAGGUUAGUCAUGAUUAUUAAACAACCCCUAUUGAUUUUGAGGUCAAAGGUCAAGGUCACAGGGGCCUUGACUAAAAAAUCUUGAUUUUCACAUUUGAAGCAUGGAGAAUACAUUUCUUAGCAAUGCACUGACUUAGUAACGUCAGAUUCAAUGGUAUGAUUGAAUGGCUAAUGGCCCAUCAGAAUGUUGUUGGUGUUCUAACCGGUAGGGGACUUAUGGAUUGCUUGCAAUACUUUGAUUAUUGCUUGUUUCGCUUAUUUUGUAAUGUUUUAAAUGGGUGAGUCUUAUGUUGAUUAACUUAUGAAAUUACCAAACCACAUGAUUUUAUCUGUUAAUGCAUGUUUUUAUACCCCAACAAACGAAGUUUAGGGGUCAGCUUGUUGGUCAGUCAGUUGGACAGUCCGUCAGGCGGUCCACAUCAUGGUUUCCAGAUGAUAACUAGAGUUUGGAAUGUGGUAUUGUAAUCAAACUUGGUGUAUAGCAACCUUAUGUGGAAACUUCGGUAGGUAUUGCAUUUGGACCCCCUUGGGUCAAGGUCAAGGUCACUGUUACUAAAAAUAGAAAAAUGGUUUCCGGACAAUAAUUACAGUUAGGAAUGAGAUAUUGUUAUCAAACUUGGUGUAUAGCAACCUUAUAUGAAGACCCGGGUUGGUAUUGCAUUUGGACCCCCUGGGGUCAAGGUCAAAGUCACCAUUACUUAAAAUAGAAAAAUGGUUUCCGAACAAUAACUAGAGUUAUAAAUGAGAUAUUGUUAUGAAACUUGGUGUAUAGAAAGCUUAUAUGAAGACCUGGGUUAGUAUCAUACUUGGACCCCCUGGGGUUAAGGUCAAGGUCACUGUUAUAAAAAAUAGAAAAAUAAUUUCCGGACAAUAACUAGAGUUAGGAGUGAGAUAUUGUUAUUGAACUUGGUGUAUAGCAAGCCUAUGCGAAGACCUGUGUUGGUAAUGCAUUUGGACCCACUGGGGUCAAGGUCACCGUAACUAAAAAUGGAAAAAAUGGUUUCCAGACAAUAACUACAGUAAGGAGUUUGAUAUUGUUAUCAAACUUGGUGUAUAAGAAGCUUAUAUAAAGACCUUGGUUGGUAUUGCACUUGGACCCCCUGGGGUCAAGGUCAAGGUCACUGUUACUUUAAAUAGAAAAAUGGUUACGGGAAAAUAACUAGAGUUAGGAAUGAGAUAUUGUAAUCAAACUUUUGGUAUAGCAACCUGGGUUGGUAUUGCAUUUGGGCCCACUUAGGUCAAGGUCACUGUUACUAAAAUUGAAAAAUGGUUUUCGGACAGUUACUCGACUUAGGAAUGAGAUAUUGUAAUCAAACGUGUUGAAUAGGAAGCUUAUAUGGAGACCUUGGUUUGUAUUGCAUUUGGAGGCCGUAGGGUCAAGGUCACUGUUACAGUGUUACUAAAAAUAGAAAAAUGGUUUUCGGACAAUAACUAGAGUUAGGAAUGAGAUAUUGUAAUGAAACUUUGUGAAAAGCAAGCUUAUUUUGAGACUCCAGUUGGGAUUACAAUUAAUUGAAUUAUUUCUUUGUACACAAUUGAUAGUUUGUGUUCUAGUUUGUGUUCAAAUUUUUCUUCAGACUACUUAUUUUUCAAAAAGUCAAAGUUGCUUGUGGGGGUAAUAAUCACCUCCAGUGAUAUGUCUACUUUUCAUUGUAAAUGUAAAUAUCAGUGGUCAGCUUUUAUGCAAGAAUUUUAUACUGUUUAUUCUUAAAUACUUAUUUUUAUUGUAAAUUCUAUAUUGAUAUUCUUUUAUGACAGGAAUGUGUUUUGUUUUGUAAGCUCAACAGGGAUUUUUAGGUUUAGGGUUUGGGUUUGGGUGGGUAUGGAUUUUGGGCUGCAGGUUCUUUAUGACAUGUUUAUGAUUAAAGACGGUAUGGUAUGCCAAUGGUCAUUUCUUCUCCACCAGUGGUUGGAGUGGUUCAUGCAUUGACAGUUCCUUAUGGAGAACAGGUAUGUACAUUGUCAGAUACCCCACGGCCAAACAAUUAACAUUUAUCAGCUGUGUGAUUUUUUGCCGAUAUUAAGUUGAAUAGAGUGUGUCAGGACAGCUCAUGAUUUCAUUAGGUGAUUAAAACCAAGGCUAUCCUUAAAAAAGUGUUUGUUUGCAGUAACCUAUGGAGCAGAAUUUGGGAAUUAAAUCCCUGUUUAUCUUUCAAUUGAUAUUUAUCUAAUUUAUGUUCAUAUUCAUGAAAUCCUUAUCUUCCUUUUCAAUUUGAAUAAUUUAGUUUUAAAUUAUGAUCUUGUAUGUCCUUUCUUUUAAGAAUACAAAGUGGGUUACAUAACACUGAAAUAAAAUCUGUAUGAAUGCACCUAGACGCAUACUGCAAGAACACAAAUACGAAAUUACAUUUGAAAUUUGAAUUUGUACAUCUGGCUGGGAACCAAUAUUGCCGUGCAAGUUUGUAAUUUCUUACGGUGUAACCGUUGAAAUAUUCUCUUAAGAAAAAAUCCACAAAAUCCAAUCCAAUUCUUAUAGCCUCUUACAUAAAAAUUUAUUUUCAGUGUGAAACGAAUGAGAGUAUGAGUUGCACAAAUACAUUUGUAAGAAACAAGUUCGAGAAAACAUACUUUCUUUUAACUAAGUAGAGAUAGCACAUGUUUGAAACAAAAGGUUAUUUAUUGGUAUCUAAUAUUAAAUUAAACGAAUUAAGAUGAAGUACUGGCAUUGGCUUUAGACUAUUACAACUUACUAUAAACUAGUAAGAAAGAAUGAAUAAAUAUUUAAGUAAAGAACUUUGAUUUACUCACAGAUGAAUCAAAUUUGUAGGAAUAUGAUUUAAACUUAAGCAAAUGAAAACAACAAGUAGUCAAAUGAAUAAAUACCCAAAUUCUGCUCCAUAGUAACCCAACCCAGAAUUUUGAAGGUGGGUAGGUAGGUCGAUUUUUUUUUAUUGAACUGUACUCACAACUAGACAUGGAAUUUCAAAAUACUUGACAAUAUUAUAUGUGCCUUGAUAAUCUGGUAACAAUUUAUAAAUUGAUAUCUGAACGCUAAUUUAAUAAGAACUACAUUUAAUUUCUUCUACAUGAACCUUUACUUUAGAUGGGUGACGCUAUGUCGGAUCUAAAAGCAAAAAGGACUUUCAAAUAAGACUUUGGUAUGGCAUAAGCUAUUCAGUAAAACAAACUACAUCCAACUUUAUUUUUGUAGUUACAUUUCUAUCACAUUCACACAUUUAACUCAUAUAAUUUAUAGUCAGUAAUUAUAAAAAGGCUUUCAGCUCAGUAACUAUAACAUUUGCCAGGUAAAGUUGGACAGCAAGGUUCCUGAAAAAUCUAAGUCAGUGGCAUGACAGGUACAGCUGAAACACACUCCAUGGUGCUGCUUCAGCUUGCUUGGUUAAUGCCAAAGAUUUGGCUUGAAGACUAUCUGCAUCUGAAAUUAUAAAACACAAACAUGUUUGAAAGUAUGAAGAAUGAAGAAGAAUAUUGAAGAAUUCUAAACUAAAAUAAUUCAGGAUAAAAUCACAAUCAAUUCAUUUUACUGUACAGUAAUCUGUAUAAGUUACCUAAAGGCAUUUUUUUUAUUGCUCUUGGAUAAUUUGUUCUUUAAUAUUUCACAGUCAUAUGACAUUUGCUUCUGUGAGAGCUUUAAACAAAAUUAAAAUUUGGUUAUUAAGGUCAAUUUUAUUAUGCCCCCACAAUGUGGGAGCAUAUAGCGUUGCACUUGUCCGUCUGUUAAACCGUAUGACAGAUUUUGCUUAAACUUACAGGGAUGAACAACCUUAAUGUGUAGAUGGUAGUAAAGGAAGGAAUUUUUGCUGCGACCAAAUUUAACAGAAUUAUGGCCCUUUGUUGAUUUUUUCACUAUAUACAUGUAGAAAUUGUGUGAAUGCAACUCCUCUUAAACAAGAUGGCAGAUUUUGCUUUAACUUACAGGGAUGAACAACCUUAAUGUGUAGAUGGUAGUAAAGGAAGGAAUUUUUGCUUCGACCAAAUUUAACAGAAUUAUGGCCCUUUGUUGUUUUUUUCACUAUAUACUAUGUAGAAAUUUUGUGAACGCAACUCCUCUAAAACAGGAUGGCAGAUUUUGCUUAAACUUACAGGGAUGAACAACCUUAAGAUGUAGAUGGUAGUAAAGGAAGGAAUUUUCACUGCGACCAAAUUUUAAGGAAUUAUGGCCCUUUGUUGAUUUUUUCACUAUAUACUAUGUAGAAAUUUUGUGAAUGCAAAUCCUCUUAAACCGGAUGGUUAGUUCGGCUUAAACUUCCAGGGAUGAACAACCUUAAUGUAUAGAUGGCAGUAAAGGAAGGAAUUUUUGCUGCAACCAAAUUAAACAGAAUUAUGGCCCUUUGUUGUUUUUUUCAUUAUAUACUAUUUAGAAAUUUUGUGGAUGCAACUCCUCUUAAACCGGAUGGCAGAUUUUGCUUAAACUUACAGGGAUGAACAACCUUAAUGUGUAGAUGGUAGUAAAGGAAGGAAUUUGAAAACCAAUGGGUCUCCCUAACAGCAUUGGUCUUGUGCCGCACACGACCCCUCUUGAUUUUUGGUCAAGGUCUUACAAAUAACUCAACAACCCAUAGGCAUAAGACCCUCAAAUUUUAUAAGUACAUUUGUUUUUGCUGCAUUAACCCUUUUUGACUUAAGGUAGGUCCGAGGAAUACAUUGGCCUUUAAUGUCAAAAUGUUUUCCUACUAAUAACAAUCUAUAGGCCCUUGACUUUAAAAUUUGAUAGAAGCAUUGGUCUUUGAUAGAAAACCACUUGAUUUUGGUGGAACAGGGUCUAUGUUACAUAUUUGUCCUUGUUGGUCAAUAUGGUUUCCAGUCAAUAAUUCAACAACCCAUGAGAGCUAGGCCUUCAAAUUUCAUAGGAGCAUUGGUUUGGGUUUUUUUUCGCUGAACAUGUCUCCUUCUGAUUUUUGGGUUUCAGGCUAAAACUUAAUAAUUGCAAUUGUCUUUGGCAGUAGAUGAUCCUUUUUGACUUAAGGGUUGCUGACUCAAAGGUCAUGGCCACAUUUAAUAUCAUAAGGGUUUCCAACCAAUAACUUGAUAACCCCAAUAGCAAUGUCUGUGUCUGCUAUAGAACUUUUCCUUGGAAAACAUUAAUAAUUUUGUUAUAGCAAUUCUGGUGUCUGUUGAAAAAUUUCUUAAUAAGCAAUGAGUGUUGUUGAUUUUUAAAUCUUUGGUAAACACAUUUUAUGUGGAUUUUUUCUUCGGUAAACACAUUUUUCUGUAGAUUUUUUUCGUUGGUAAACACAUUUUAUUUUUCUGGUUUUUUUUCUUUGGUAAAUAUAUUUUUUAAUAGUUUUGUUUGGUACACAUUUUUUUUUUUUUUGGUAAACAUAAUUUUCUGUAGAUUUUUUUCUCUUGUAAACACAUAGUGGAUUUUUUUCUCAAGUAAACAAAACUUUAUUCUCAUUAAACUCAUUUUCCUGUACAUUUUUACUUACAUAGAUUUUUUUUCAUUUGGUAAACACAGUUUUCUGUAGAUUUUUUCUUUGGUAAACACAUUUUUUGUAUUUUUUUUUCAGUAAUCACAAGUUUCUGUAGAUUUUUUCUUUGGUUAACACAUUUUUUUUGUAGAUUUUUUCUUUUACAAAACAGUCAUUUUCCUGUACAUUUUUCUUUGGUUAACACAUUUUUAAGAUAAUUCAUUUGGUGAACACAUUUUUUUGUAGUUUUUUUCUUCAGUAAACACAAUUUUCCAUUCAUAUUUUUCUUUAGUAAAGACAUUUUCUCUAGAAUUUUUGUUUGGUAAAGUUUUUUUUCUGUUCAUUUUUUCUUUGGUUUGCUGUAAAAUUGAUUUUUCUGCAUUUUCUUAUAGUUAAUUUGUCUUCUUUGAAAAUAUUCAAUUUGCAAACACAUUUGUUACACUCAGUAUUCCAGAGUCUGCUGUAUGUAAACACAUUUGUUUCAAACUUCCUUUCGUCGUGGUUAUAUCUUAAUUUCAUCUGAAAUAAAUUUGUAAUGUUACUUAUUGAUUAAUGAUACAUUUUUCCUUCUCAAACACAUUGUAAUUGUACAGUUUUUUCUGCAACCACUUAUUAGAAUUUUUUUGUUAGUAAAUUUAUCAUUAUAUAUUGCAGUGGAAAAAGACAUUAGGGCUGACCUUCCAUUAUCUUUUCCGACAUCUCUGUUCCUGGUUGAAAUAUGAUAGUAUUGACUGAAUGGCCAAACAUUAUCAUUGAAUGUAUCAUGGGAAAAGUACUUAUUAUAGUUUGACUGCUUAACCUCUUACCAUUAAAUUCAUCAAGCUAUGAUAGGUCUAAACCCAUAUAUGUUUUUGGUAUAUUGCCAGAUCAGACAGUAUUUAUGUAUUUUCAUUCAAGAACAUAUUGCAUAGGUGUCUGUAUUAACUGUGCCUUGAGUUUUUAUGCAUCCAUUGAAAAUUAAUAGAUCUUGUUCUUUAUUGGUGUUUCUUUGAAUUUUGAAAAUUAGAAUGAACUAAUGUAAAUGGUAGUUUGAAACAUCUGUGUGUGAAUUGUUCUAAGAAAGUUUGUAAAUGUUGAAACAAGCAGUCAAUUAUUAACCAACAUAUCAGAGAAGUAGACUGUUCUACAUUUUAGUUGAUUCAUAUCAUUACAUUAUACAUGUACCCAUAUCAUAUCAAGUAUAUCACAUUAACAGUAACAUUUUGUUAUUAUCUUUUCCGACAUCUCUGUUCCUGGUUGAAAUAUGAUAGUAUUGACUGAAUGGCCAAACAUUAUCAUUGAAUGUAUCAUGGGAAAAGUACUUAUUAUAGUUUGACUGCUUAACCUCUUACCAUUAAAUUCAUCAAGCUAUGAUAGGUCUAAACCCAUAUAUGUUUUUGGUAUAUUGCCAGAUCAGACAGUAUUUAUGUAUUUUCAUUCAAGAACAUAUUGCAUAGGUGUCUGUAUUAACUGUGCCUUGAGUUUUUAUGCAUCCAUUGAAAAUUAAUAGAUCUUGUUCUUUAUUAGUGUUUCUUUGAAUUUUGAAAAUUAGAAUGAACUAAUGUAAAUGGUAGUUUGAAACAUCUGUGUGUGAAUUGUUCUAAGAAAGUUUGUAAAUGUUGAAACAAGCAGUCAAUUAUUAACCAACAUAUCAGAGAAGUAGACUGUUCUACAUUUUAGAUGAUUCAUAUCAUUACAUUAUACAUGUACCCAUAUCAUAUCAAGUAUAUCACAUUAACAGUAACAUUUUGUUAUAAUACAAAAACUAAGGACCAAUAAUACUUAUAAACUGCAUUCCACUUUUGUAACUGGCAUGGAAAACGAUAAAAUGUUUAUGUCUUAUUUACAUUAUGUACUUUUUGUAAAAGUCAUUUAUUGUAUUUUAUGAAAUGUCUUGGAAAUUUGCCAAAUUUUUUCAUGGUAUCAAAACAGAUCAGUUAUCAGUAAUAAGUUUAAUUAAAUUUAAUUAUCUGUUAGAGUGUUAGUUAGAAUGGAGAUUAGACUUGCUAAAGGGGAUUACAUCAUAUUGUCAAUUUAGAUGCAAACAAGGGAUGUUAAUAGAAUGCCUGUUCAUAUUUCUUUACAUUUUAUAACAGACAUAAUUUUCUUCUUUUUUUCUCAGAGACUGUCAUCCCCGAAUUGUAAAUAUAUAAUUAUGAUGAAACAAAAUGACUACCUUUACUUGAUACUGUUACAAACUGUUGCCCUUACAUUCCUGUUUUGGCAAACUUUUUAUAUAUAAUUAUAUAUAUUUUUUUGUAAUUUCUGGAACAAUGAAUAACCUUAUUACCUUUGUCCCAGGUAAUAUUGACAUUUUUUUUUAAUGUUUAAAAAAAUAUUUGUUAAUAAAUUUUAAAUGUGCAAUGAAACUGUAUAAGUUGUUACUAACUUGUUAAUACAUUUAUAUUUUGUAUACAACUCAUUUUGUAAAUAGAUUUAUAUGAAAUUGCAAAACACUAUGCAUUAUUUAUAUAUAUAUUAUAUGGAAAAUAGAGUUUAUUACGAUAAUAAUGAAAAAAUAAAUCAAUCAAUUCAAGGAAAAAUCUCUAUAUUCAUGAAUAUGUUAAUGAUUAUUCGACUUUAAUUUGUACCUUUGUGUCACAAGGGUAUGUGAUUAUCUAUCCAGACACUAAAUUCUUUCUAAAGGGUACCUAUUUUUAUUGUACAUUCUAAAUGUUCUGAAAUAAGCAAGAUUCUAAUUGAUGCUGUUUCUCUACUUGUUAUAGGGUCUGUAAGCGAACAGCAUGGAUCCUAAUCAGACUGCACAGGAAUUAUCUGUAAAGCUUCUAAUUAGACUAAUGCCAAAUAAAUUCCUUGUCAAUUUUAUGUUUUUGGUGCCAUAAUUAGGUCAGAUUUAUUUGGCAAUCAGACCACAAUGUUCCUUCACUCUAUUAUUCCUUUAAUUCCUUUGAAUAAUUCUGUUAAAAAAAUACUGUUUAUGUUUAACAACAAUAGAAAUAAUUUGUAAACUUAACUAAACUACUAAAGUUAUCAAUUGGAAAACAUAAUCUGUUUUGUAUUUUGAAAAUUUAAAGAAAUAAAUAAAAAAAAAGAAGAAAAAAUUAAUUGAAAUAAUAAUUAGAAAUAAAAAAGAAAAAUAUCUAAAGAAAAAAAAUAUUAAAGAUAAAAAUAAAAAAAGAAUGGGGGUGGUGGCAUUUAAUGAAAGGAAACUUGAAGUCAAGCAGAUGUUAAGGAAUGUGUUUAAAACACAAACUUUAUAGACAAAUUGAAUGUGUUUAAAUUGAUCAUACCUGAACUCUAGCUUGCUUCCACAUUUCUCGUUCAUUAGAUGAUUAAAAAAUAAAAAUUAAAAAAAAAAAUGAUAAAAAAUAAAAAUAAAAAAGAAUGGGGGGUGGUGGCAUUUAAUGAAAGGAAACUUGAAGUCAAGCAGAUGUUAAGGAAUGUGUUUAAAACACAAACUUUAUAGACAAAUUGAAUGUGUCUAUCAGGCCUGAACUCUUGCUUACUUCCAACUUUCUCUUUCAUUAGAUGAUUAAAAAAAAAAGAUAAAAAAUAAAAAUAAAAAAGAAUGGGGGGUGGUGGCAUUUAAUGAAGGAAACUUUGAAGUCAAGCAGAUGUUUAGGAAUGUGUUUAAAACACAAACUUUAAAGACAAAUUGAAUGUGUUUAAAUUGAUCAUACCUGAACUCUAGCUUGCUUCCGACUUUCUCGUUCAUUAGAUGAUUAAAAAAUAAAAA